GAGGUUGUGGCUCAGUGGUAGAGCACUUGCCUGGUGUAUGUGAGGCCCUGGGUUCAAGUCUCAGCACCCCA
rfam:Ictidomys tridecemlineatus contig019254, whole genome shotgun sequence.